rnacentral:lncRNA from 1 species
UGAGAUGUUUGAGAGUACAAUAACAAGUUUAUUCAGGCACAGCUUAAUGGUUACAGUAACUUCUUUAAAGGCACUUAGAUAAUGGUUGCAAAGCUAUGUUGAGGUGUUCCAAACUUCUUAAAACGUCAGUUAUUUCUCCACUAACAGACUACCUUAAAAUAAGUCACCAAACUUAUUUUAUCCCUGAUCCCCUAACUUAGGAUCAGCCUUCCCUGAGCCUCAACAGAGCCCAGACUUAUUUUAGGUAAAAAUAAGUCACCAAACUUAUUUUAGAAUUGACUCAAAGUCCCACAUUUGAGCCACCCUGAUCCUCCAACUGAGAAUCGGACUUCCCUGUGGUUCGCUGACCACAGACACUGCCUGACUGACUGAGUUUCCCUCCAAAUUCUACUCUCUUUUCAGCUAACCCAGUUGGCUCCGCCCCCUUCUCCAUGGCAACCAGCCUCUGAAUGCCAAGUAACUGAAAUAUUAACCCUUUUUAAAACACAGUUAAACAUGACUUUUAAAACACAAUUAAACAUGACAUAUGUAAACUAAAAUUCAUACUUCUUUACACUGAUGUUAACAGAAUUCUGGGAAAUGUAAUUUAGUGCAGGGCCUUUUGAAUUCUCUGUAUAGGGCUUCUCAGCUUCCCAAACUACAUUUCCCAGAAUUCUGUGCUAAAUCAGUCUCUUUACCAGCAAACUCUGCUUUCUCCCCGCUACUUCCCUCGCUUAAUGGCAAGAAGCCACUAAUUUAAAGGGGAAAAGCAGCCUUUUUGGCUUUGCUUUGCUUCCUUGCACUGAAAAUAAAACUGGCUUUGGAAGGCUUCCAAGAUUUACAAAAUUCCAAUGAAAGAGUAUUGGGUGUUAAGGGCAAAGAGGUUUUCUCAGAAAACAACAAGUAACAAUAAUUUUUGGAGAAGAUGGUGGCAAAUCCAAAGGAAUGACACAUUUGACUUUGGAACUCUGUGUAUGGCUUGAAGACAGGAAGAUAGCUAUAAAACCCACUGAGGCCUGGGAAUGAAAGUUAACCAAGUGGGAAGACUAAGAAGUAUCUGCAGGAGAACAGAUGGGCUGAAAAUUAAUAAUCAGAGAAGUUUCAGGUGGGUAAUUAAAUGCUGAUGUGGUUCUUCUGCCUCAUUUUCCCUGUCCUACAAACACACACACACACACACACACACAGAAAGAGAGGAGGGGAGAGAGAUAUUUGAACUACAAGUGAAUCCAGAGAGCAAUUGAAUAACAUAUUUGAGUUGUUUCAGCUAUAUGUGUUGUACCGCAUCACACUUUUGAUAUGCCAAUGCACCAAAAAGACAAUGUGGAAGAGAGAUAAAGAACCUGUGAAGAAGCAAAGGCGUACACUUGUGUCAAGUGUGUAAUUUGGAGCAAGGCAGGGAGGGGAACCUCUUCAAUAUCAGAGCACCAUCCCUGUGUAGUUAGGAUGGCAAAAGUUAUUAAUGAUGGAGAAUAUGCAGGUUAGUUUGGGGACUUUUAAAAGAAUGAUUGUGAAGGAAGGGAUUAGAAAAGCACAGGAAAUGGUAAAAGGUUAGAAAACAUACAGGAUUUGAACAAGGGUUAGGCAUCUAUAUUAAUGUAAGUAAGCAUUUCUCAACCUGGAGAUUGGAACCCCUGGGGGGGGGGUCGAUGGGGUUUUUAGAGGGUUCACCAAAACCUAUCAGAAAACACGCAUUUCAGAUGGCCUUAGGAACCCAAAUCCCGCCAGUAUUUUCUGUUGGUCAUGGGGGUUCUGUGUGAGAAGUUUAUCCCAAUUCUAUCAUUGGUGGGGGUUCAAGGAACUUUUUGACUGUAGGUGACCUAUAAAUCCCAGCAACUACAACUCCAAAAUGUCAAGAUCUAUUUUCCCCAAACUCCACCAGUGUUCAAAUUUGGGCAUAUUUAGUAUUUGUGACAAGUUUGGUCCAUAUCUAUCAUUGUUUGGAAUCCACAGUGCUUUCUGGAUAUAGGUGAACUAUAACUCCAAAACUCUGGUCAAUGCCCACCAAACCCUUCCAUUAUUUUUUGUUAAUCAUGGGAGUUCUGUGUGUCAAGUUUGGUUCAACUCUAUCAUUGGUGGAGUUCAGUAUGCUCAUUGAUUGUAGGUGAACUAUAAAUCCCAGCAGCUACAAUUCCCAAAUGACAAAAUCAAUCCCCCUCCAACCCCACCAGUAUACAAAUUUGGGUGUGUCAGGUAUUUGUGGCAAAUUUGGUCCAG